rnacentral:rRNA from 1 species
CACGUAGGGCGCGAGCGUUUGUCCGGAAUUAUUGGGCGUAAAGAGCUCGUAGGCGGCCUGUUGCGUCCGCUGUGAAAGCCCGGGGCUUAACCCCGGGUCGGCAGUGGAUACGGGCAGGCUAGAGGUAGGUAGGGGAGAACGGAAUUCCCGGUGUAGCGGUGAAAUGCGCAGAUAUCGGGAGGAACACCGGUGGCGAAGGCGGGUCUCUGGACAGUUCCUGACGCUGAGGCACGAAGGUCAGGGGAGCAAACGGG